rnacentral:rRNA from 1 species
UACAGAGGGUGCAAGCGUUGCUCGGAUUUACUGGGCGUAAAGCGUACGCAGACGGUGAGAAAGGUCGGAUGUGAAAGCCCCGGGCUCAACCCGGGAACUGCAUCCGAAACCAUCUCGCUAGAGUAUGGGAGAGGGAAGCAGAAUUCCUGGUGUAGAGGUGAAAUUCGUAGAUAUCAGGAGGAAUACCUGCGGCGAAGGCGGCUUCCUGGCCCAUUACGUGACGUUCAGGUACGA